GACGAACGCUGGCGGCGUGCUUAACACAUGCAAGUCGAACGGAAAGGCCCUGCUUUUGUGGGGUGCUCGAGUGGCGAACGGGUGAGUAACACGUGAGUAACCUGCCCUUGACUUUGGGAUAACUUCAGGAAACUGGGGCUAAUACCGGAUAGGAGCUCCUGCUGCAUGGUGGGGGUUGGAAAGUUUCGGCGGUUGGGGAUGGACUCGCGGCUUAUCAGCUUGUUGGUGGGGUAGUGGCUUACCAAGGCUUUGACGGGUAGCCGGCCUGAGAGGGUGACCGGCCACAUUGGGACUGAGAUACGGCCCAGACUCCUACGGGAGGCAGCAGUGGGGAAUAUUGUACAAUGGGCGGAAGCCUGAUGCAGCAACGCAGCGUGCGGGAUGACGGCCUUCGGGUUGUAAACCGCUUUCGCCUGUGACGAAGCGUGAGUGACGGUAAUGGGUAAAGAAGCACCGGCUAACUACGUG
rnacentral:rRNA from 1 species